UAGGACAGAUUGCUUUACACAAUCACUUUCCUGUCUACAUUGGAGUUGGGGCUCUGGCUGUGGUUUCUGCAGUCUUAGUUGGUGCUUAUCUGGGUGUCACUAAACAUGGCUUCUCCACCAGUGAUACGGGUCCCAUUGUCUACACGGAUUUUACAGCACAAGG